rnacentral:rRNA from 1 species
UUCUUCGAAAAAAAUAUUUAAAAAAAUCAAUUAACUAAAAGGAACUCGGCAAAUUUAGUUGCUUCGCCUGUUUAUCAAAAACAUGGCUCUCUGCUUAUAUAUAUAGAGAGUCGAGCCUGCCCAGUGAAUUUUUCAACGGCCGCGGUACUCUGACCGUGCAAAGGUAGCAUAAUCAUUUGCCUUAUAAUUGAAGGCUAGUAUGAAUGGUUUGACGAGAGCAACGCUGUCUCUUUUUUAUUUUCAAGAACUUAACUUUUAGGUGAAGAGGCCUAAAUUUUAUUGAAGGACAAGAAGACCCUGUCGAGCUUAAAAGAUACUAUAGAAGUUUAUAUAUUUUUAAAUAAAUUUUCUAUUAAGCUUUUUAGUUGGGGCGACUAAGGAACAAAAAAAGCUUCUUGUUAAUAUUAAACGGUCACGUUUAGAUCCGGUAAUAAUCGAUUAAAGAAAUUAGUUACCGCAGGGAUAACAGCAUAAUCUCUCUUGAGAGACCUAAUCGAAAGAGGGGGUUGUGACCUCGAUGUUGGACUAGAAUAUCCUAAAGAUGUA